GCCCACAUAUACAAAUGGGCAAACCACUGAUGUUCAUCUGAACCACUGCCCAUCUUCAAAAUCUUGGCUCCAGAUUCAAAAUUCAAAAUUCAAACCGUAUACAUGUAUAACCUACAUUAUGUUCUCAUACCCUUUUUCACAAUCUUCGUUCAAGAAAUUCACUUUUCACAAACCCUUUUCAUCUGCUUCAAUCUUCUCCUUCACACUUGCAGGAUUUAACAACAAUUCACCUUCUUAAUUACCAUACGUUCUCAGAUCUGCCCUAAGAUCGGAAUCAACUUUAUACAUCUCCUUCGAUUGGUGGCUAGAGAUGCUUUGCAGAGAGAUGAUGUUAAACAUCUAGGGUUUGGGAGUAUAGAUGGAUUCAUCGCUGUGGUGUGACACACUCAUGUUCUUCAAGUUAAAGGUUAUCACCUCUUGAUUUUCUUGAAGGUAAAGUGGCGUCUCCUUUCUCAAACCCUAAAUCGAUUUAUGUUGAUCUGUUAGUCGAUUUAUGUCAGUUUUCUCUUUUAAAAAUUACCUGUUCAAAAUUUGAAAUUAGGGUUCCAUUUUAUUGCUCCUGUUGUUGUUUAUUUGGCGGUUCAUCGGUUAUAUAGAAGGUUUGGUCGAUUCUGUUUAUAAUAACAAGAUUACAGAUGUAAUAUGUCUAUUUAACUUCACAGAUUUGGAUUUUGUUUAUAGGAUAUGUGGUGGAUGAAUUUGUUAUUUUGUUUGUAAGCACUUUAGGGCAAUUAGUGAUAAAAAGGAUUGUGAGGUUGAAAUGGCAAAUCAUCAUGAGGACGACUGCACAUUCGACAUUGACAAUAUUGCCAGUGAAUUGGAACUUCUUAAUAAUUUAGUCGAAUAUGCUACAGACAACAAGAAAAUUUUGGCUUCAAGGUUGGAUCGUGCUAUCAGUUUAAGGAUUGAGUACACAACAAGAGAUGGAACGAUAAAAGAGACUACAUAUAUUGAGCACUAUGGAUAAAAGAGACUACAACAGACCGCACCUGAAUCGCCAAACUCCCAAGAAGCCCAUGAUGAUAAUCACUCUACUGCAAAGUCGUUUAACAUGCAUACAAACUGAACCAGAAGGCUGCAUCAUCAAGCAUUAAGGAUUUGAAACAUCUGCUAUGUAUGUUGAGUUUGGUGCUUUAAUCUAAUCGAGAAGUUUUUCAUACGUAAAACUGCCACCGACAAGACUCUUCCAUUGGGUUUGGGGCACCUGUUCGGGCAAACAUGAGAACCGGAGGAGUUACCACUACUGCUGUUACUUCAUCUUUGUUGUAAACUGUAAGCUUACUCUAUUUUUACCUAAACAUUAUAUGUGCAUUUUGGAAAAAUUAUAUUUGAAUAGAUAAUCAACUAGACUGAAAUAAAUUUAGUGCAAGAGAUGGUAGUAACGGUAUAUGGUUUGGCAAAUUCUCGAUGGCUGAUCGAAAGUACUAGGUAAAAUAGUGUAAUUUUACCCAACCUUUUUGACGGUCAGUUUGAAGGAGAUGAUAGCUUCAGCUGCAGAUUUAACAAGUUCAUCAUCUGGUUCUGUUUCGAGGGCUGCAGGGGUCUCCUGGUCGAUCUCCAUUGAAGCGAUUUUAACAACGGCUUUAGGGAUGUUUGGUGUUCAUGAAGGAUCUUCUUCUUCAAACAGCAAAUUUAAAUCAAAGUCUUGCCUUGAUUCCAAAAUGCUUUUAUUUUUGUCGUUUUCAGCAUUCUUAUCAUGAGAAACGUUGGCUGAAUCUUGAACGUUAACUAUCGGGACGCCUAGAAUUUUUGUAAUUUCGUGGACAUGAACGGUUUGAAGUUUCUCGGCUUUCUUGAAAAACUGCUGAGAAUGUUGCUGCAAAGAAUCCAAAUUCAUCUGAUAAACUGUUGUUUCUUUCUCUUUGGUCUUCAUAAGCCAAUGAGGCAGCUGUUUCUCAAGGGUUUAAACUAACUUGGGGGAUUUUGUGAUUCAAGAAAUUAUCACAAUAUGACAUCUGGGAAAGGAAAGAGAGUGAAAGAAAAGAGACCACGAAAGAACAAACAAGUGAUUAAUUCUAACAUACUGUUGGUGUGCUGAUGUUAUUAGUUCUUUUUUCUCUUCAGGUAUGAUCAUUCUGACUUCUAAUAAUUUACGUAUCCUGCACGGUAGGGGAACAUAUGUCAUGGGCAAUGGUAAAGGACUCUAAACCAUCUCUAACGCUAUAACAAUCAUGGGUUAAAACAGUGUUUCAAACAACUGUUGGGUUAAAAACAGUGUUUGAAACCACUGUUGGGUUAAAAACAGUGUUUGAAACCACUGUUGGGUUAAAAAACAGUGUUUGAAAAACAUUGUUGAGUCAAAACAGUGUUGCUAAAACAGUGGUUUGAAACCACUUUUGGGUUAAAAUAGAGUUUUAAACCACUGUUGGGUUUGAAACCACUGUUGUGUUAAAACAGUGUUUCAAGCCACUGUUAGGUUAAAAACAGUGUUUGAAAACACUGUUGAGUCAAAACAGUGUUGUUAAAACAGUGGUUUGAAACCACUCUUGCGUUAAAACAGAGUUUGAAACCACUGUUGGGUUAAAACAAUGUUUGAAACCACUGUUGGGUUAAAACAGUGUUUCAAGCCACUGUUGAGUUAUUUUUACCAUAAAAUGGAGUCGACAAUAUAAGUCGCGGGAUUAUUAUCAGUAAUAUAACUGUUAUUUUUACCAUAUAAGAGUGUUUCAAGCCACUGUUGAGUUAUUUUUACCACUGUUGAGUUAUUUUUACUAAUUAAUAUAAUAAAACGUUACUAAAACCACCCGUGUUUUACACGGGUCCGACUACUUUCAUUUUCAUUGCAGCCGAGGGUGCUGAGCAGUUUGACAAACAAGUUUUCGAACACAUUAUGUUGGCAAGUCAACUCGGACCUCUGUUUUGCCUUUUCAUAGAAUCAAUGUGUAAUGUGUUUUUUUAUAUGCUCGAAGUGGGGAUAAUUCAAAAAAUGUGAAUAAACUUACAGGUGUGUUCAUUUAUUUGUAAAUCUUUUUAUUUCAUGGGUUAUUUAACUGUAAAAAGUGAUUGUAAAUAUUUAACUGCUGAUGAUGAGUCCCUAGAAAUUGCAUGGUAAUUCAUUGCAUUUAUAUCCUUUAGCAUUCAAGAUUCUUUGUAGUUGUAUAAUUGAUAUAAAUGAUGGAUUUUAUAUUCAUGUUCUUUAUCUCGAAUGGCCUAAUCCUUCCGAUUUAGAUGCCUUCAUUUGCAACAACGGUGCUGAUCUGUAUUAACAAUAUUAGACCUGGCAAACGGGUCGGGUUGGGUCAUGGGUCAAAAUAGGUUCGAGUCAAAACGGGUUCUGAUAAAAACGGUCAAUUAGAAAGGGGUUGUUUUGGUUCGGGUCAAAACGGGUUCGGGUCAGAACGGGUUUGGGGUCAGAACGGGUUUCGGGUCGGGUUGGUUAAAUAUAUUUUUUAAGGACAUUGAGCAUCGUUCGCGUUCUUCUUCAAUCUGUUUGUAUCUUAAUUCAAUUAUGCAUUUUAUGAAUGAUUUGAAGUUUAUUGAUCGAUUGAGCAUCGUUCAUGUGAUUAGUUUGUUGCCGUUUGUUUAGAAUCUGUAAUAACUGAAAUGGAUUUGAGUUGAAUUUGGAAGUCAAUUAUGCAUUUUGUGAAUAGUGUGUUUUGAAGUUGUUUGUUUGGAGUCUGUAAUGAAUAAUGAUUGAUAAUCCAAAUGGAAUGAAACCUAUUUGUGCUGAAUUUGGUGAAGAUUUUGAGUUGUUGAACUUAUGCCGAAUGAGAUAUGAGGUUUUAGUAUAAGUUGUUGAACUUAUUUCUAUAACAGUGAAGAUUUUGAGUUGUUUUGAAGGUUUGACUUAUGUUCUAUCCCGAAUUCUCGACUCCGCCGCAACGCGCGGGUUCCCCACUAUAUAGAUAAUGCAUACAACCUUUUGAGGUCCGAGGGGAAAGAAUAUGUUGUACAAGAAGGCGAUGUUAUGUUGUUCCGGUUUAACGUCUAAUGAUGUUGAAGUAAUGAAAAUUGGGCCUUUAAUGUUAAAAACACCCAACCUUAAUGUUAUGCUGUUCCGGUUUAACUUUAUCAAGCUCGGGAAGCAAUCCCGGGUAAAAACCUAGUUGAUAUAUAUAUAAUAAAAAUCAAGAAGUAAA